rnacentral:misc_RNA from 1 species
GGGUUCGAUUCCCAAUACACUCACCA